AACAUACUCCCUCCGUCCCAAAAUUCUUGUCUUAAAUUUGUCUACAUAGAUGUAUCUAUUCGCAUUUUAGUGUUAGAUACAUCCGUACCUACUCCCUCCGUUCCGAUUUACUCGUCGUGGUUUUAGUUCAAAUUUGAACUAAAACCACGACGAGUAAAUCGGAACGGAGGGAGUAGAUAAAUCUAAGACAAGAAUUUUGGGACGGAGGGAAUAUUAA
rnacentral:pre_miRNA from 1 species